rnacentral:rRNA from 1 species
AACGAACGCUGGCGGCAGGCCUAACACAUGCAAGUCGAACGCCCAGCAAGGGGAGUGGCAGACGGGUGAGUAACACGUGGGAACCUUCCCUAUACUACGGAAUAGCCCAGGGAAACUUGGAGUAAUACCGUAUACGCCCGAGAGGGGAAAGAUUUAUCGGUAUAGGAUGGGCCCGCGUAGGAUUAGCUAGUUGGUGAGGUAAUGGCUCACCAAGGCGACGAUCCUUAGCUGGUCUGAGAGGACGACCAGCCACACUGGGACUGAGACACGGCCCAGACUCCUACGGGAGGCAGCAGUGGGGAAUAUUGGACAAUGGGCGCAAGCCUGAUCCAGCCAUGCCGCGUGAGUGAUGAAGGCCUUAGGGUUGUAAAGCUCUUUUGCCGGGGACGAUAAUGACGGUACCCGGAGAAUAAGUCCCGGCUAACUACGUGCCAGCCGCCGCCGUAAAAC